GCAGCGCGCCCCGCCGCGGGGUUGUGGCCGCGCCGGCUCCGCGCCGCUCCGCGCCGGCGGGCCGCGUUCUGCCCCGCUGCGCCUGCGGGCUGCGGCCGUGCUCCGCGCCCCGGCUGCCGCCCCCCUCCCCUCCCCUCCCCUCCCCUCCCUUCCCCACCGCUCCUCUCCUCUCCCCCGGCGGAGGGGCUGUGCCUGGGCGGGCGCGGGGCUGCGGCGGUGCGGGGCGGUGCGGGGGAGCCCCGGGAGAGGUGGGCGCGGAGCGGUGUCCCGCCGAGACAAAGGCGCCCGGGAGGGUGAAGCCGCCCUCGCAGACAAAGCGGCAGCCGCCCGCCCCCGCCCCUCCGCGGGGGAGCCCCCAGGCGAGGGGUUUCCACUGCUGGGUGGAGGGAGGAAGAGGAGGAGGAAGGACGCGGGGGUGAGAGCGGCUGUGCCGUGGGCAGCAGGAAAGCCGCUCUCCGAGCGUUAACAGAGCUCAGCACCGCCGCCUGCCUCGCCUCGCCUCCCCGUCCCUCCCUCCUCUCCUCCUUCCCCCCCCCCCGCCCCGCAUCCCCCCGCCGCAGCCGGCUGCGAGCCCGGAUGGUUUGCAAGCGGAGUUGAGGGGGCAAACUUUGAAGCCCAGAUGCCUGCGGGGCUGCGCGGCAGAACGCGGCUGCUCCCGCAGGCACCUGCCGCCGCCGCCGCCGCCCUCCCCCGCCCCCCGGCGCUGCCGCCCUCCGCGGGGGCGGCCGGCCCCGCUGCCGGCGGCCGCCGAGGCGGCGGGCGCUGCGGCCGCGGUUNGGCGGGCGGCGGGCGCGCCCCCAUGCGGGUCCCGGGCUGGGGCGCGCCGGCGGCGGCAGGCGGGAGCCGGGCGGCGGCCGGGCGGUGCUCUCCCGCCGCCUGAGUGGGCGCGGCGCGGCGCGGAGCGGGACGGCGGCGCGGGGUGCCCGGGAGCCAUGGGCUAUUGCAGCGGCCGGUGCACGCUGGUGGCGGUGUGCGGCGCGCAGCUGUGUCUUUCAGUUCAAGCGAGCGUGCUUUCAACAGACCAAUUCUGAGUUUCUACAAGCAAGACUGAAGUUUUUGAAAGUUGCCCCUGUUUUCAGUCACACAAAUCUGUUAAAAUUUAAACAUAAAAUGGACAUCCAAAUGCCUUUCUGGCAGCUUUGAAAGUCUUAGCUUAUGGGAGCGCUGUUGCAACUGCCAGAGAAACAGUCCAUGAAACCUGUAUAUCAGCCAAGUGAUUCAAGGAAAUUAUUGGUAGCCACCAUUAUGGUUUUGUUUUCAUUGGCAAAAGAAUUACUGUAGUAGCUUUGCUAUCUUGCCUCAGUUUUUCAUCCAGACUGCCAGUAAUAAAAAGUAUGAAUACUUCA
rnacentral:lncRNA from 1 species